CUCCCUUCUAGUUCCAACGCCCAAAGAUCAGGCAUCCUCCAUCUCCAUGCCCAAGAGGAGCUUGCACAUCCUCUUUUCUUUCCUAAUUUUUUGAUCUUGAUUGCUUCAUAAUCAAGAAAAGAAGAGCAAGAGAAGAAGAAAAGAAAAAGAUCAAGAAAGGAUCAAAGAGUUGAUCGCGAUCCAACUUUGUUCAGAUUCGCAGGGUGAUUAUUCUUGAAGAAGAAAGAUCAAUACCAAAGAGGACUAUUCCAGACUGAUCUUGAGU
rnacentral:lncRNA from 1 species